rnacentral:rRNA from 1 species
UGCCAGCCGCCGCGGUAAUACGGAGGGGGUUAGCGUUGUUCGGAAUUACUGGGCGUAAAGCGCACGUAGGCGGAUCGGAAAGUUGGGGGUGAAAUCCCAGGGCUCAACCCUGGAACUGCCUCCAAAACUAUCGGUCUAGAGUUCGAGAGAGGUGAGUGGAAUUCCGAGUGUAGAGGUGAAAUUCGUAGAUAUUCGGAGGAACACCAGUGGCGAAGGCGGCUAACUGGACUGAUACUGACGCUGAGGUGCGAAAGUGUGGGGAGCAAACAGGAUUAGAUA